rnacentral:rRNA from 1 species
UACGUAGGGGGGCAAGCGUUGUCCGGAAUCAUUGGGCGUAAAGAGCGCGUAGGCGGCCCCUGUAAGUCCGCUGUGAAAAGUCGGGGGGCUCAACCCCUCGGAUGCCGGUGGAUACUGUCGGGCUUGAGUACGGAAGAGGCGAGUGGAAUUCCUGGUGUAGCGGUGAAAUGCGCAGAUAUCAGGAGGAACACCAAUUGCGAAGGCAGCUCGCUGGGACGUUACUGACGCUGAGACGCGAAAGCGUGGGGAGCAAACAGGAU